GUGUACUUUUGUUUGUCUUUUUUAUUUUUAGCCAUGGCGUUGUCAGCUUAUUUUCGAUUUAUGAGUUUGACUGUCCCUCUGGUAUCUUUUGUCCCUGUUUUCAAUAUCGUUAGUAUUAAGAACCUAUACUUGUUUUUCUCUACAAAAAUGAUUGCCAAAAAUAAACACUUCAGCGGGGUUCAAAAUUAAACUUUGUUUGAUUUUAACAAAAAAUGAAUAAAUGGGGUUCUUUGAUAUGCUGGAUCCAACCAUGUAUUUAGAUUUUGGAUAUUGGACCAUAAUAGGUAAAUGUCAACAUUAUGAUUCCAAGUCGACCAGUGUUUUGUCUUACUCCUAAGUGUCGGUGGCCAAGUGGUCUAAGUAGUUCUAAUGUUAUCACUAGCCAGUCAACACUGAGGUGAGUUCGGACACCCCUCGUGUAGAUUCACUCGACUCCUAUCUAAUAAUUGACUAGAAUUGUCAUUUUUAAUAUCGAAGGUCGGUGGUUUUCUCCGGGCACUUCGGCUUUCUCCAACCAUAAAAACUGACCGCCAUGAAAUAGCCAAAUAGUUCGCUUCAAAGUGGCGUUAAAACACCAACAAUCAACCAAUCAAUCCUAAGUGCCGUGUGCUAUACUUAGAAUUAACAAUUACUACUUUUCAUGUUAGGUUUGACCCUACCGAAAAUCAAAUCCAUAAUCUCGGGUAAUUAAGGUGAACAUCUACUACGAGAUCACCAAGAAGGUUUUUCGCAAUAAAGAGAUGUGGUAUAAUUGCCAAUGAGAUAAAUACAUGUAUCCACCAAAGUUCAAAUAUGCAAUUAUAGGCAACUGCAUUGACUUCAGCAAUGAGAAAACCGAUACCGCAUAGUCGGUUAUAAAAGACCCCUUCAUUACGCUGGGGAAUGCACGAAAAGAAAAUAGUCUGUAAUGUUGUUUUUGUCAAUAAAAUAUGGUA
rnacentral:lncRNA from 1 species